CAAAAUAUAGUUUAUGUUUAAAAUAUUAAUUUUGGAGAUUAAUGAUAUAUUAUUUUUUAUUAUUUUGA
rnacentral:tRNA from 1 species